AUUGAAAAUCAGUAUAGCGCUGCAUGUGCCAAACAGCUGCUGAAUGUUGAAACUUAUUAGAAGCCAGAACAAUCCUCGUACCUCUGUGGUCUCUGAGUGUGUCUGUUAUCCCAGGUACCAUCAUCUUAAUUAAAUGGCAGUAAUAAUGGCUUUGCAUGGCUAUUAUUACAACAAUAUAAAGUUGCCACAUCAACGAAGAGCACUAGACAAUCUCAGUUUUCCAAGUUCAAUUUCAGUUCAUACAUUGUUGAAGAAUAGAAGGUCAAAAUCUGAUAAGUCAGAUAAUGAUAAAUUUCCUAGACUCCUGGUGAAAAUGCGACAGACAGAAUUGCCUCCAUCAAAAUAUGGUACCAAUGGUAGAGCUGUUAAAAUGGUCCCAGCAAGUGAGGUAGUCAAAAGAAAGACAAUGUCAGAGAAUAAAGUGGAAAGGGUGAGUGGUUCAAAGCAAACUGUUAAUGGAGCAAGUUUGGUAAGAAGAGAUUAUACCACAGCCUUGACAAAGACAAUGAAAUCUAAAAGCUCUAAAGAACUUCCACCAUUGGAAGACCUAAAAGUUUUGCCCUCAGACGAAGGCUUCAGUUGGGCCAAUGAAAAUUACAAUUCCUGGCAGAGGUCUAUUGAUGUUUGGUCGUUUGUCAUUUCUUUACGCAUUCGUAUUCUGCUGGAGAAUGCAAAAUGGGCAUAUCUGGGUGGCUUUACAGAAGAAAAGCAGAAAAGCAGAAGGCAAAAAACUGCUGCAUGGCUAAGGGAGUGUGUAUUACAACUUGGCCCAACUUUCAUCAAACUUGGACAGUUAUCGUCAACAAGGUCGGAUCUAUUUCCCCGUGAAUUCGUGGAUGAGCUUGCAAAAUUGCAGGACAAAGUCCCUGCUUUUUCUCCAAAGAAAGCAAGAGGCUUUAUUGAGAGUGAAUUAGGAGCGCCCAUAAAUGUGUUGUUUAAAGAGUUUGAGGAUCGGCCCAUUGCAGCUGCUAGCCUUGGUCAGGUUCAUCGUGCCAUUCUGCACAAUGGAGAAAAAGUGGUUGUCAAAGUUCAAAGGCCUGGCUUGAAGAAGCUUUUUGACAUCGACUUGCGAAACUUGAAGCUGAUUGCAGAGUAUUUUCAGAGAAGUGAAACUCUAGGUGGUCCAACUAGAGAUUGGGUUGGUAUUUAUGAAGAAUGUUCAAUGAUUUUGUAUCAAGAAAUAGAUUAUAUAAAUGAAGGGAAGAAUGCUGACAGGUUCCGCCGAGAUUUUCGAAACAUAAAGUGGGUCCGAGUGCCUCUUGUUUGUUGGGAUUAUACUGCAUCAAAGGUGUUGACGUUGGAGUAUGUACCAGGUAUCAAAAUAAAUGAAGUGGAUAUGUUAGCUUCGCGUGGUUAUGAUCGAUUACGGAUCUCCUCACGUACUAUUGAGGCUUACUUGAUUCAGAUAUUGAGAACAGGUUUCUUUCAUGCUGAUCCACAUCCUGGAAAUCUUGCUGUAGAUGUUGAUGAAGCAAUUAUUUAUUAUGACUUUGGCAUGAUGGGGGAGAUAAAAUCUUUCACCAGAGAGAGACUGCUUGAACUGUUUUAUGCUGUUUAUGAAAAGGAUGCCAAAAAGGUUAUGCAAGGCCUUAUAGAUCUUGGAGCACUCCAGCCCACUGGUGACCUGUCAUCAGUGAGGAGAUCUAUACAGUUUUUCUUGGACAAUCUUCUAAGCCAAACACCAGACCAGCAACAGACUUUAUCUGCAAUUGGGGAGGAUUUAUUUGCAAUAGCACAAGACCAGCCAUUCCGUUUUCCAUCUACCUUCACCUUUGUUAUUAGAGCAUUUUCUACACUUGAAGGCUUAGGUUACAUGCUCAAUCCAGAUUUCUCUUUUGUGAAGAUUGCUGCACCUUAUGCACAGGUCAGACAGUCUAUGCCCUGUUAUUGUUCCUAUUUUCUGUUAAAAAUGUAGCACUUAUACGUAUUUAUCUUACAGGAACUUUUAGAUGUAAGGCAGAAGCGGCGCACUGGGCCACAACUUGUGGAGGAGAUAAGGAAACAAGCAGAUGAUGCGAGAACCAAUUCGAUAUCAAUGCCAUCCAGAGUUCAGAGAAUAGAGGAAUUUGUCAAUCAACUUGAGACAGGAGAUCUGAAACUGAGAGUUCGAGUACUCGAGUCUGAAAGAGCUGCUCGGAAAGCAACAAUAUUACAAAUGGCUACUAUAUAUACGGUAUUUGGGGGAACCUUGCUAAAUCUUGGUAUCACUUUAAGUAGCCAAGGCAAUCAAGCUUUUGCAAACGGAUCGUUCUUUGGUGCAGGUGUUUUUGUGUUACUAUUUUUCAGGUCUAUGCAAAGGGUAAAGAAACUUGAUAAGUUUGAGAAAAUGAUAUAAUCCGUUCCCAACAAAUUCAACUCCUUCAAUAGUCUGCAAAGGAUACAGAAACUUUAUCUCCAUGUUCUUGCUCAUCAACAUUACCAUUCAUAUUUUUGCAAAGAAGCAUAGUAAGAUAUACCAAUACAAGUUGUACAGAAACAUGAUUGGAGGGUGAUCUAGAUGAAGUGAAUAUCGUAGUUUUGUAAGGAGAAAAGAAAUUUGUCAUUAAACAUAGAUACAAAACUUAUCCAAACUAGUUUUUGUUUUCACAUUUUCAUUCUAAUUAUAGCUUCCCUAGUACUCCCAAGUUAAUUUUAGUAUAUGCCUUAAGAGGCUAAUUGUAUACUGACCUUCCUAAUUUACAUUGUUCAAUGCCAUUUAUUUAAUAAAAGACGUUUCAUUC